rnacentral:snRNA from 1 species
AGCUUUGCGCAGUGGCAGUAUCGUAGCCAAUGAGGUUUAUCGGAGGCGCGAUUAUUGCUAAUUAAAUGUUCUCUUAGGUAUUAUGUAACUUGUGGAACCAAAACUUUA